GACGAACGCUGGCGGCGUGCCUAAUACAUGCAAGUCGAACGCAGUGGGGACGGGUGAGUAACACGUUGGUAACCUCCCAUCAGAGGGGAUAACACUUGGAAACAGGUGCUAAACCGAUACUGAUGGAUGGACCUGCGGUGCAUUAGCUAGUUGGUGAGGUAACGGCUCACCAAGGCCACGAUGCAUAGCGGACCGGAGGGGGUGAUCGGCAAAACUGGGACGGAGAAACGGCCCAGACUCCAACGGGAGGAAGAAGUAGGGAAUCUUCGGAAAGGGACGAAAGUCUGACCGGGCAACGCGGCGGGAGUGAAGAAGGUUUUCGGAUCGUAAAACUCUGUUGUUAGAGAAGCGGUAUCUAACCAGAAAGCCACGGCUAACUACGUGCCAGCCGCCGCGGUAAUAC
rnacentral:rRNA from 1 species